AGACCCGAAACCCGGUGAUCUAGCCAUGGGCAGGUUGAAGGUUGGGUAACACUAACUGGAGGACCGAACCGACUAAUGUUGAAAAAUUAGCGGAUGACUUGUGGCUGGGGGUGAAAGGCCAAUCAAACCGGGAGAUAGCUGGUUCUCCCCGAAAGCUAUUUAGGUAGCGCCUCGUGAAUUCAUCUCCGGGGGUAGAGCACUGUUUCGGCAAGGGGGUCAUCCCGACUUACCAACCCGAUGCAAACUGCGAAUACCGGAGAAUGUUAUCACGGGAGACACACGGCGGGUGCUAACGUCCGUCGUGAAGAGGGAAACAACCCAGACCGCCAGCUAAGGUCCCAAAGUCAUGGUUAAGUGGGAAACGAUGUGGGAAGGCCCAGACAGCCAGGAUGUUGGCUUAGAAGCAGCCAUCAUUUAAAGAAAGCGUAAUAGCUCACUGGUCGAGUCGGCCUGCGCGGAAGAUGUAACGGGGCUAAACCAUGCACCGAAGCUGCGGCAGCGACACUGUGUGUUGUUGGGUAGGGGAGCGUUCUGUAAGCCUGUGAAGGUGUGCUGUGAGGCAUGCUGGAGGUAUCAGAAGUGCGAAUGCUGACAUAAGUAACGAUAAAGCGGGUGAAAAGCCCGCUCGCCGGAAGACCAAGGGUUCCUGUCCAACGUUAAUCGGGGCAGGGUGAGUCGACCCCUAAGGCGAGGCCGAAAGGCGUAGUCGAUGGGAAACAGGUUAAUAUUCCUGUACUUGGUGUUACUGCGAAGGGGGGACGGAGAAGGCUAUGUUGGCCGGGCGACGGUUGUCCCGGUUUAAGCGUGUAGGCUGGUUUUCCAGGCAAAUCCGGAAAAUCAAGGCUGAGGCGUGAUGACGAGGCACUACGGUGCUGAAGCAACAAAUGCCCUGCUUCCAGGAAAAGCCUCUAAGCAUCAGGUAACAUCAAAUCGUACCCCAAACCGACACAGGUGGUCAGGUAGAGAAUACCAAGGCGCUUGAGAGAACUCGGGUGAAGGAACUAGGCAAAAUGGUGCCGUAACUUCGGGAGAAGGCACGCUGAUAUGUAGGUGAAGUCCCUCGCGGAUGGAGCUGAAAUCAGUCGAAGAUACCAGCUGGCUGCAACUGUUUAUUAAAAACACAGCACUGUGCAAACACGAAAGUGGACGUAUACGGUGUGACGCCUGCCCGGUGCCGGAAGGUUAAUUGAUGGGGUCAGCGCAAGCGAAGCUCUUGAUCGAAGCCCCGGUAAACGGCGGCCGUAACUAUAACGGUCCUAAGGUAGCGAAAUUCCUUGUCGGGUAAGUUCCGACCUGCACGAAUGGCGUAAUGAUGGCCAGGCUGUCUCCACCCGAGACUCAGUGAAAUUGAACUCGCUGUGAAGAUGCAGUGUACCCGCGGCAAGACGGAAAGACCCCGUGAACCUUUACUAUAGCUUGACACUGAACAUUGAGCCUUGAUGUGUAGGAUAGGUGGGAGGCUUUGAAGUGUGGACGCCAGUCUGCAUGGAGCCGACCUUGAAAUACCACCCUUUAAUGUUUGAUGUUCUAACGUGGACCCGUGAUCCGGGUUGCGGACAGUGUCUGGUGGGUAGUUUGACUGGGGCGGUCUCCUCCUAAAGAGUAACGGAGGAGCACGAAGGUUGGCUA
rnacentral:rRNA from 1 species